rnacentral:lncRNA from 1 species
GGUAACUGAGAGACCUGGGAGAUCCCCUGACACACCUGAGCUACAGGUACCUGAGGAACCUGGAAGCCCCACCCAACACACCUGAGCCCCGCCCUGGGACCCUCCCCCAGGCUCUCAGCACCACCUGACACCCACCCAAAAGCACCUGAGUGUCCCAGGGGUGGGUCCUUGGGUGUGUCCCCACUCUCCCAGGUGUGUCCCCAUUCUCCCAGGUGUGUCCCAGGUGCGUCCCCCUGUGCCCAGGUGUGUCCCCACUCUCCCAGGUGCGUCCCCACCCACCCAGGUGUGUCCACCUGUGCCCAGCUGUGUUCCAGCUGUGUCCCCUUGUGCCCAGGUGUGUCCCAGGUGUGUCACUCACUGUCGGGGGGGUUCCUGACGUCCAGGCGCAGCCUCAGGGUGGGCCGGGCGCAGGUGAAGGCAUUGGCCAGGUCACCAUCGCUCAGCAGAGGCACAAAGGUGUCCUGGCCCUGCCCAUCCCGUGCUGCAAAGCUCAGCACGAAGCUUUUCUUCCUGAAAGAGCGACAGGUGAGGUCACCUGGGAGUUCCGGGGGGGUCCCAGGUGGGGUUUUGGGGGAGGAAGGUGCUCACCCCUGCAGGUCGAAGGCUCGGGCCAGGAUGUGCUGCAGCACAUCCAGCGAGGUGAUCUGCGGGUCCACGGCAAACGAGCGGAACUCGGGCGGCUGCUGCCCCUCGUUCUUCUGCGGGAGGAGCGUCAGAGGGUCCCGGAGGGUCCCGCGGGGGUCCCGGAGGGUCCCGGAGCCCCCCCGGCCCCUCACGGCGACUCAACAUGGCGGCACUCUCCCCUCACCGCGACAACGCGGAGAGCCUCCCGCGCCGCUGAUUGGCUGCCGGGCCUUCACGUGACCCGAGAGGCGGGAAAAUUUCCCGCCGGCGCCACACCCGCCUCGCCGAGCUGAUUGGUUGUCCGAACCCACGUGACCCCACCCUUAACUCCGCCCACAACUCAUCAUAAUAACCGCGCCCACGCGAGGCCCCGCCCACAACCACGCCCCAUCCCUUACCUUGACGCGCACGCGCACAACCUCGCACUCCUCCUCCAGCGAGGCUCCGCCCCCCGGCGAGACCCCGCCCCCCGCCGCCGCCGCCAUGUUGGGGCGGGGUCUCGGGGGGGAUU